rnacentral:rRNA from 1 species
UACGGGGGGGGCAAGCGUUGUUCGGAAUUACUGGGCGUAAAGGGUUCGUAGGUGGCCAACUAAGUCAAACGUGAAAUCCCUCAGCUUAACUGGGGAACUGCGUCUGAUACUGGUUGGCUUGAGUGCAGGAGAGGAACGCGGAAUUCCAGGUGUAGCGGUGAAAUGCGUAGAUAUCUGGAGGAACACCGGUGGCGAAGGCGGCUUUCUGGACAGAUACCGACGCUGAGGCACGAAAGCUAGGGGAGCAAACAGG